GAGAACUCGCAUAUCACACAACGAUCGACGACUCUCUCCUUGAACACCGCAACUAGUUAAGAUGAGGACUACCCGGGUGUUUCUCCCGGCCCUCGCCUUGCUCAUGCUAGCAUCAGGUGCGGUAACGGCGGCGUCAAUGGACGGUAGCGCUAAGUUCAGGUACAGGUGUGAGGAUACCCUUAUCCCAUCACCAAAGCCAUGUGACGACGACACUUGUAAUGUGGCGUGCUACAACCUUAUUCAGGUACCCAAACAAGGCAAGUGUGACGCCGUCGGGUGCAAAUGCAUGAUAUGCGAACGCCAGCCUCCAAUGAGUAGUAACUAGCUAAUGAUAUGCAAAAUCGCAAAUGGUGUAGCAGCAAGGUUGUUCACUGGUGAUCGGCAUGUUAAUUAUGAAGAGUGAUGAAUUCGGCCUGGCUUCUUGAAUUA